AAAGUCGUAACAAGGUUUCCGUAGGUGAACCUGCGGAAGGAUCAUUACAAAUCCAUCCACGUCUCACAUCCUGAGACCACGUUGAAAUGUUCCCCAGAGCCUCUGCAGGCCCCUAUCCCUAGGAUAUCGGCAUGCAUGCUCUGGGCUGUUAAACUAGUUACCUCUGUUGCUCAAAUGUAUCUUGAUUUUCAAUCAAACGAAAACUUGUACAACUUAUAACAAUGGAUCUCUAGGCUCUU
rnacentral:misc_RNA from 1 species